UGAAUACGAGACGCUAAGGCGUUGAAGUAGUGUAUGUCAUACUUCCAAGAAAAGCUUGCACUGUCAUAGAUAAAAAACGCCUGUACCAUAACCGACACAGGUGGGUAGGUAGAGUAUACUAAGGGGCGCGAGAUAACUCUCUCUAAGGAACUCGGCAAAAUAACUCCGUAACUUCGGGAGAAGGAGUGCCUUAUUUAUAAGGCUGCAAUAACAAGAUCCAAGCAACUGUUUAUCAAAAACACAGGUCUCCGCUAAGUCGUAAGACGAUGUAUGGGGGCUGACGCCUGCCCAGUGCCGGAAGGUUAAAGAAGUUGGUUAGCAAUAGCGAAGCUGAUAACUGAAGCCCUGGUGAACGGCGGCCGUAACUAUAACGGUCCUAAGGUAGUGAAAUUCCUUGUCGGGUAAGUUCCGACCCGUACGAAAGGCGUAAUGAUUUGGAUACUGUCUCGGAGAGGGGCUCGGUGAAAUAGACUUGUCUGUGAAGAUGCGGACUACCUGCACCAGGACAGAAAGACCCUAUGAAGCUUUACUGUAACUUGAAAUUGAAAUUGGACUUUAUUCGCGCAGUAUAGGUGGGAGGCGUUGAUUGUAAUCUUGCGGGAUUAUUGGAGCCAUCAGUGAGAUACCACCCUUGUAAUGUUAGAUUUCUAACUUUGAAUCAUUAUCUGGUCAAAGAACAGUUUCAGGCGGGCAGUUUGACUGGGGCGGUCGCCUCCUAAACGGUAACGGAGGCGUACAAAGGUUUCCUCUGAACGGUUAGAAAUCGUAUCUAGAGUGUAAAGGCAUAAGGAAGCUUGACUGUGAGACCUACAAGUCGAGCAGGGACGAAAGUCGGUCUUAGUGAUCUGACGGUACUGAGUGGAAAGGCCGUCACUCAACGGAUAAAAGUUACUCUAAGGAUAACAGGCUGAUCUCCCCCAAGAGUUCACAUCGACGGGGAGGUUUGGCACCUCGAUGUCGGCUCAUCGCAUCCUGGGGCGGUAGUACGUCCCAAGGGUUGGGCUGUUCGCCCAUGAAAGCGGUACGCGAGCUGGGUUCAGAACGUCGUGAGACAGUUCGGUCCAUAUCCGGUGUAGGCGUUAGAAUAUUGAGAGGAGCCUUCUUUAGUACGAGAGGACCGAGAAGGACAUACCUCUGGUGUACCAGUUAUCGUGCCAACGGUAAACGCUGGGUAGCUAUGUAUGGAGUGGAUAACCGCUGAAAGCAUCUAAGUGGGAAGCCCACCUCAAGAUAAG
rnacentral:rRNA from 1 species